AACGAACGCUGGCGGCGUGCCUAACACAUGCAAGUCGUGCGAGAAAGUUCCUUCGGGAGCGAGUAAAGCGGCGCACGGGUGAGUAACACGUAGGUAACCUGCCCCCCAGUCUGGAACAACUAGAGGAAACUCUAGCUAAUGCCGGAUGAGACCACGAUCCCUUCGGGGGUUGCGGCCGAAGAUGGCCUCUACUUGUAAGCUAUCGCUGAGGGAUGGGCCUGCGGGCCAUUAGCUUGUUGGUGAGGUAACGGCUCACCAAGGCUGUGAUGGCUAGCUGGUCUGAGAGGAUGACCAGCCACACUGGGACUGAGACACGGCCCAGACUCCUACGGGAGGCAGCAGUGGGGAAUAUUGCGCAAUGGGCGAAAGCCUGACGCAGCGACGCCGCGUGGGUGAUGAAGGCCU
rnacentral:rRNA from 1 species